UACGUAGGGUGCAAGCGUUGUCCGGAAUUAUUGGGCGUAAAGAGCUCGUAGGCGGUCUGUCGCGUCGGCUGUGAAAACCCGGAGCUCAACUCCGGGCCUGCAGUCGAUACGGGCAAACUGGAGUGUUGCAGGGGAGACUGGAAUUCCUGGUGUAGCGGUGAAAUGCGCAGAUAUCAGGAGGAACACCGGUGGCGAAGGCGGGUCUCUGGGCAACAACUGACGCUGAGGAGCGAAGCGUGGGGAGCAAACAGG
rnacentral:rRNA from 1 species